rfam:Sus scrofa isolate TJ Tabasco breed Duroc chromosome 1, whole genome shotgun sequence.
GAGUUUGAGUGUGACCUGACUGAGAUAUCAUUCACUUCUUGGGCUGCCAGGGUUGACUGAGCUGAUCUGGCCAGCAAGCUCCCUUACAUCAUUUCUAAAGCUGUGAUUACUCACAGAAGGUGCCCUUUUUCAGAUAAGACUAGGCUUCCGUCAAGGGUUUUAGGAAUAGCUGAACUUCCCACCUAGAGCUUCUGGAAAGGGCUGACUGUCAGAUCUCUUCAUAGGAGACUGUAGGGUAGUCAGACUUCACAUCUGACUUUCAUUUUAUGAAAUGAC